rnacentral:rRNA from 1 species
AUGUCAGGAUCACUGAAUUCAAAUAUUGGUGGGGAUUCAACAGGAAGGCCAUUCACAUCAACCUUUUCUGGUCAGUCUGGAUCAUUUCCUAAUUUCCAUCACUCUGGCUUGCAUAAUAUCCACGGAAAUCUCAAUCUUGCAUCACUAUCGCCAAGGAAUGCUUCAUUGUCAGGUAUUCCAUCCCCAGGUGUUCAACAACCUGGCGGCAAUAUUUCUGGUAGCCGGUUUCCCUCAAAUAACCUUCCAGUGUCCAUGUCUCAGAUUUCUCAUGGCCAUUCUGGGAUCAGCAACAGAGGAGGUAUGAAUCUUGGGGGGAAUGCUGUAUUUAGUAGUAGCAUGAAUGCUAUUGGUGGUUCAGCACAAGGUUUAUCCUCAAGCAUGGCUAAUGUUGGUAAUCGAAAUUCUGCUCCUGGGUUGACAGCUUCUUCAGUUUUGGGGAACUUAGGCCCACGGAUAGCAAAUUCUGGGGGCAAUAUAGUGGGUGGCAGCAGUAUUGGCAGAAGCAUAAGCUCAGCAGGAAUGUCCAUGCCUGGUAUUGCAUCUCGUAUCAAUUCGAGCGGCAACUCUGGAAGUGGGGCUCUUAAUAUCCCAUCCAAUCGACUGAGUGCGUCGCCACAGUUCAUGAACAUUCUUGGGAGUUCUUAUCCAACACCUGGAGGAACGCUAUCUCAGAACCAAGUUCAGGCAGGAAGCAAUUCUUUUAGUUCUUCUGGAAUGCUACAUGAAGGAAACUCUGGUGACAAUUCUCCGUUUGACAUAAAUGAUUUUCCCCAGUUAACUGGGCGUCCUAAUUCUGCUGGAGGUGGUCAAGGGCAAUAUGGGUCACUGCGAAAGCAAGGCGUAAGUGUAAAUGCUAUUGUGCAACAAAACCAGGAGUUCAGCAUUCAGAAUGAAGAUUUUCCAGCUUUACCAGGAUAUAAAGGCAAUUCGUCAGAUUAUGGUAUGGAUUUGCAUCACAAGGACCACCUUCAUGAGAAUGCAAAUAUUAUGCAGGCACAACAUUUUCCUAUGGGUAGAUCAUCUGGCUUUAAUUUGGGAGGUAGCUAUCCACCCCGCCAACAACAGCAGCAGAGCACUACUUCGGUUCAAAAUGGUCUUGAUAAUAUUGGGCUAAGGCCGAUAAAUUCUCCAAGUCCGUCUUCUAAUUCGGGGUCUUAUGAGCAACUCAUCCAGCAAUACCAUCAACCGCAGACUCAGAAUUCACUUAGGUCGCAGACGUCUUCGGGCCAACAGUCAUCCAAGGAUCAGAGUCAAAAGUCUGCUCAGGGAAAAGAAACUGUGCCAGACCCAUAUAGUUUACUUGGAUUGUUGAACUUAAUAAAAUCGAAAGAGCCUGGACCAACAGCUCUUGCUUUAGGGCUUGAUUUAACUACACUAGGGUUGAAUUUGAACUCCCCAGAUUGUCUUUGGAAGACAUUUGGCUCUCCAUGGUCAAAUGAGCCAGCUAAAGGAGAACCUGAUUAUCAGAUCCCUGCUUGUUACUCUGCUGAGCAACCUCCACCACUGCAGCCAUUCAAUUUUCCAAAGUUUCACCCCUUGACACUAUUCUACAUCUUCUACAGUAUGCCGAAGGAUGUUGCUCAGUUAUAUGCCGCGAAUGAACUAUAUAACAAAGGGUGGUUUUACCACAGAGAGUAUCGUGUGUGGCUCACACGAGCUUCAAAUGUGGCGCCUCUUGUGAAAACUCCACUGUAUGAACGAGGAUCCUACAUUUGUUUUGAUCCCAACCUGUGGGAUACAAUUCAGAAGGACAACUUUGUGCUCCAAUAUGAAUCUGUAGAGAAGAGACCUGUCCUACCUUCCACCAGCCAAAACGUUAGAUUAUAA